rnacentral:rRNA from 1 species
GACGAACCGUGCAAACGUUGUUCGGAAUCACUGGGCGUAAAGCGUCUGUAGGUGGUUUAAUAAGUCAACUGUUAAAUCUUGAGGCUCAACCUCAAAAUCGCAGUCGAAACUAUUAGGCUAGAGUAUAGUAGGGGUAAAGGGAAUUUCCAGUGGAGCGGUGAAAUGCGUAGAGAUUGGAAAGAACACCGAUGGCGAAGGCACUUUACUGGGCUAUUACUAACACUCAGAGACGAAAGCUAGGGUAGCAAAUGGG